rnacentral:rRNA from 1 species
UAGGGAAUCUUCGGCAAUGGACGAAAGUCUGACCGAGCAACGCCGCGUGAGUGAAGAAGGUUUUCGGAUCGUAAAACUCUGUUGUUAGAGAAGAACAAGGACGUUAGUAACUGAACGUACCCUGACGGUAUCUAACCAGAAAGCCACGGCUAACUACGUGCCAGCAGCCGCGGUAAUACGUAGGUGGCAAGCGUUGUCCGGAUGUAUUGGGCGUAAAGCGAGCGCAGGCGGUUUCUUAAGUCUGAUGUGAAAGCCCCCGGCUCAACCGGGGAGGGUCCUUGGAAACUGGGGGACUUGAGUGCAGAAGAGGAGAGUGGAAUUCCAUGUGUAGCGGUGAAAUGCGUAGAUAUAUGGAGGAACACCAGUGGCGAAGGCGGCUCUCUGGUCUGUAACUGCCGCUGAGGCUCGAAAGCGUGGGGAGCAAACAGG